ensembl:lncRNA
UCCUAGCCAUCAGACAUCAUGUCUGUAGCCAGAGAGCAGCCAGGCUGAUGUCUGCAGCAGAGAGGACUUCAAAUGGAGGGGCUGUGACUCUUAUCUCCCUCAAUUCUAGGUUCUUGAGGGUUGCUGCUUAACAAGUAUUUUCACUGUAGUUUCCUAUUUAAAAAAAAAAAAAAAUCAAGAGUGAUGAGAUUUGCCUGUGUGUGGAAAUGCAAACACACUGAUGAGUCAGGGUAACAUCUUUUCUGUAAAUAUAUAAAUAAAUUUAGGCACUGACAUAAACUCUUCAGCUAAUAGAUUUUUCUCCUCUGCAAUGUGGGUUUAGCCAUCAUUCCAGUAACAUGUUUACAGAAAGCAUAGCAGUGCUCAGUGGCUGAAGUUCUACCUGCUUUUUCCUUAUGGCUUCCUUCUCCUCUUGCCCCAGGGCUGACUGAGCAGGGACCACCUGAUGCUGAUGAAACAACACUUCUUCUGGUGACCUCUAAGAGCUGUUGGGGGUAGAUAGAUAGCCAGAGAUAGGAAAAGCCCAUUUCUGAGAACCUCCCCAGAACCUUGUGCUCGCCAACACUGUUUCCUGUGCUGUUGUAGUUGGGAGCUGGGAAGACCUGAUGUGAAGAUUACAGAUGGCAAGGGUGAGAAUGGUUGUCCUUUGCUCAGUUGGGCCGUGUGGGCCCUUUUUAACUAAGCAGCUGUUUUCCUGUGGUCUCUUAGUGACCCACCCACCCAUGCAGAGGGCCAGUGUAUGGGUGGCCCCAGAGGGACUACAACCCUGAGACCAUGCCAUGUCUUACUUAGGUCAUAGGUUCUGGGCUUAGCUGACCCCAGAGCAGAACUUGUUCAACAUGUCUUUUAAUCCUUUCCUACCUUGCGGCUUCCUCCUGGGGUCAGCAGCGUGCAUGUAUGUCAGCACCUCCGUUUCUCAGCUUCGGAGUGUCUUAGACUUCACACCAGAUUGCUCCCCCAGCGGCCGUGAGCAGAUGCAAGCCUGCCUCCUAUGCUGGGAGUUCCCUACAAAGGGAGGUAGUUCGUGUAGAACGAUCCAGGAAAUCCCUGUACAGUGAUGGCAGAAGCUAGGAGCCACAGGAUUUGCUUUUUUGUCAUUCUUGAAAUACUUUCUGAAGAACCACCUGGUUUGAUUGGGAAGAAGUUAGUUCACAUCCUUCAGAACUUUUCUAGGUCUAACCAUCAGCCUAGUCAGGCAUUAUUAUUACCACUGGCCACUAGGGGCCAGGGUUAAAAAUUCAGACUUGGGUCCUGCCACUGUGCUGGUGGCCCUCAUUGGAUCCCUGCCUAAGCUGGCAGAGACCUCUGGGGAGCACUAAACCCCAUCUGUACCAUUCUAGGAACCCUGUGCCAAUCAGGAAGCAUUUGCUGACUUGCACUGCUGGCCACUCGGGCAUUUUUUAUGUUAGAAGAGAUUCCAAAUGGCAACAGUCCUCAGGGGGCCUGAAACUGGGUUUUAGAUUUGUGGGAUGCAUGUUAAAUAUACGUAUAGCAAAGACCUCUGAAAGUGGAUGUUGUCCGUUUUGUUAGCAGAUGGUAGGUAAUAUUAACCGGCUGAUUGGCUCAGGACUCUUUCUCCAGGAGGAGUAAGAGUUUAUCUCCUACCAGUCUUCAAAGGAGGGAGGGCCAAGUCAUUGCUUGGUAUUAGCUUUGGCUUUAACUGUGAGGCCUUCCCUCUGCUGGGCGCGGGUCCAGGCGAGUAGUGUCCCACCUGGGGACCAUAUGGUCCUGCUAGUUAGGAGUAAAAUGUGACAGGAAGCAUUUGCCCCCCCCCCCACCUCCCACCCUCCUUGGCUGUGGGAGAGAAGCUGUUUUCACUGCUGUGACAGAAUAGGAUAGGAACUUACUUUGCUGGAAGCCAUAGAAAACCACAGGAAAGGUGAGAGUGAUACUAAUAGUGCCUAGUGCUUCAUGGGAAGGUAAAUAUACCUAAUUAUUUAACACAUGCUAGCUAGAAGAGAAAGGCAGAUUAAAUCAUAGCUAAUUGCUGUGUUCCUUCUGGUGGCAAGGGGCAUGAAGUCAGCCUUCCACUGGGACUUGCUAGAGAUCUUUAAAGGGUGGUAGCAAAUUAGCCUUCUGGUGGCCAACACUAGCCUCCUAGAGCUGCGGGUACUCAGGAACCAUCUUUUCCCUUAAACUGCGCAAGCAGAGAGUGAACUGAGGUGCGCUCUCCAGGUUCAGUGCAACGGUCUGUGCAGUGCUAAAGAAGGGAUACAGGGUGUGGGCGGAUGGAACUGUAGGAUAACGCUGAGUUUCACAGUGAACUUGCCUUUCCAUGAGAAGAGUCUCAAAGCUGACAAGGACACCUGUAGGAAGAACGACAGGCCCUCUAGGGGUCACUGUAUUCCCGUUAGGCUUCCAGGCUAUGAUUCUGAGAGCUCCCAUCUCCGCCCCCCAUACCUGCUCAACCCCAUGGUGGAGCCUAUGGGCCUAUGGGCUUACCUCAGCAGGCCCAGUCUCAUCCCAUGAAAACCCUUUUCUGAUUCAGGUAGGGGAGGGGGGUGCUGAAGGUUUCUUUAUACCCAAGUCAUGGGUUUUGACUAUUCCACUUUAUUGCUGAUAUACCUCUGUUCCCAGGAGCUACUGGAGUACUGAUUGUUGUAGAGAAAAGACUGUGAAUUAAGAACUUACUCUAGGAUUUCAGCAUGGCCCUGGCUCUUAGAACCAUGUUGACUUAAGUUCUGAAAGUUGCAGCAGAGGGUUUAUUUACCUUGCAGCAGGUGCCUACCCUCUCAGUCUGACGGUGAGUUUACAUUGCUUCCUAAAGAGACUGGGGCAGAACAGGGUUUUAUAAAUUGUGCAUAGAUGGAACUUCAAAGUGAAAAGCCCAUACAGAGCAAAUAUAUUUAAUUGACAUUGUAUCUGGGUAAAUUAAACAAAGACAUAUACAAGUUAGGAAAAAGAACUUUGAGUUUGCUGUGUCCACAUCAGCCAUCAGAAAUUGGGGGUUCUAGGCUCCUGAACUGCCAUCAUGGGUGGCUUCUGGGAUUCCGGGUGGAGGUCAAACGAACAAACAAACAAAAAAAACAACUUCCUUUAAUUGUCCAAAACUUGCUGGCUAGAUUUUUAUAUAAGUCUGGAAUGUAAUCCUUGCCUGAGAAACAAAUAGUUGUAACCAAGAAAAUCUGUUUUCCUAGUUUUUUUUUUUUCUUUUUAAAACCUAAGUCCCUGUUGCCUUAAAUGUAAAAACCUAUUUUGAGUAACAACCCCAGCCUAAGAGUUAUAGCAAUAAGAGAACCCGAAUCUAUUUUUGUUUCAAGCCUUUACCUCAUAUGACAAAGUCAGAAGGAUAAUUGGUAAGUUUUGCUCUGGGUACUACUACAGACCCAUGUAUCCUCUCUCUGUCUCUUCAACUGUGUAGUAUUUACAGAUCUGAAGAAAGCUGGGCUUAACCCUGAGGCUAAGUGUAAAUGUUUCUUGAAUUGAUUCUUUCCGUGGUACAAGUAACACCUGUGUAUAUCAUUACCUGUAUAUAUCUGAACCAAGUUAUGUGCAGAGGUUGAUAAUAACUAUAUUUACAAAAAAAACCCCAAUUUUUACAAUUAAAGUUCACAUUUUAACAUGA